CCCUAAGUUAUCACUAAGUGGGAAACGAUGUGGGAAUGCUUAGACAACCAGGAGGUUGGCUUAGAAGCAGCCAUCCUUUAAAGAAAGCGUAACAGCUCACUGGUCUAAAUAAGCCGUCCUGCGCCGAAGAUGUAUCGGGGCUAAAGUCGUGCACCGAAGCUGAGGACUUCAUCUUAUGAUGGAGUGGUAGCGGAGCGUUCCGUAAGCCUGCGAAGGUGCACCGCGAGGUGUGCUGGAGGUAUCGGAAGUGAGAAUGCUGACAUGAGUAGCGACAAAGAGGGUGAGAGACCCUCUCGCCGAAAGUCCAAGGUUUCCUGCGCAAUGCUAAUCAGCGCAGGGUUAGUCGGCCCCUAAGGCGAGGCAGAAAUGCGUAGUCGAUGGGAAGCAGGUUAAUAUUCCUGCACCAGUGGGUAGUGACGGAUCUCGUGUGUCGUCAGUCCUUAUCGGAUUGAACUGGCGGCGAAGAGGUCCCUGGAAAUAGCUCCCACAUUAGACCGUACCCCAAACCGACACAGGUGGACUGGUAGAGCAUACCAAGGCGCUUGAGAGAACUCUGCUGAAGGAACUAGGCAAAAUGG
rnacentral:rRNA from 1 species